CUCUCAUGGGCAAGAGUGUUUACCCAGUGGCCUCAGGUGGCACAUGUGUGCUCAUUGCUGUGUGACUGUUUUUCCCAGGCAUCA
rnacentral:miRNA from 1 species